UACGAGGGGGGCGAGCGUUGUUCGGAAUUAUUGGGCGUAAAGGGUGCGUAGGCGGUUUGAUAAGUCUGUUGUGAAAGCCCCCGGGCUCAACCUGGGAAUGGCAAUGGAUACUGGCAGGCUAGAGUGCGGUAGAGGGUAGUGGAAUUCCCGGUGUAGCGGUGAAAUGCGUAGAGAUCGGGGAGGAACACCAGUGGCGAAGGCGGCUACCUGGACCAGCACUGACACUGAGGCACGAAAGCGUGGGGAGCAAACAGG
rnacentral:rRNA from 1 species